GUGUGCUCUGUUCUAGUGCCUGUGAUGCGAUGCGCGCGUGACUACUCGUAGUCGUAGCGCGGGUACACUGCGAUGUGAUUCGUCUGCUCCAGCGCCGGCAUCUCGCUCCAGUUCGGGCUCCAGCGUGCCGCUCCCUGCGACCAGCUGUAGCUCUAGGCACCACGCAAGGUACGCCCACCGAAGGCACGACGACAACCAGCAAAGAAUCCUCCAAUAUGGCACAACCAGAAGAGAGAAUGCCUCAACUAGAAUUAAUUGAGAAUGUUCCGAUGCCAGAGAACCUAACUGAAGAGCCUGUGAAGAGCCUGAAAAAGAGAUUGCAGAAGCAACUGAAGAGAAAGAGGCGAAGAAAAAGAAAAUUCUAGUGUUGUGAAGGAAGCAAGGCGCAACUGUUGCAAGAUUAUUAUCGAGCAUGAGGCAAAAAGUCAAUGAUAUAUAUGCAUUAUUGUAAAGCCCU
rnacentral:lncRNA from 1 species